rnacentral:lncRNA from 1 species
CAUUAAAUCAUUAAUCUAGUUAAACUCCCCUUGGUAGAACAAAGGAUUAGGAUUUCCCUGUAGUUUCUAAUAGCAUCCAAGUAACUGUUUUUUAUUUUAUUUUUAAAUGAAGUAAUACUGCAAUUUCUGACCAAGAAGACUCCCCUGGAUCUUACCAUUUUCCGCUCCAAGCAUGCCAAACUCUUUGGGAAAGCUUCCAACAACUCCUUUGCAUUUGGCCCGUGAGAAUCAGAUCAUCAAGCAUCUCAAUCUUCAUUAUGGUGUGACCAUCUACCCAGUUCCCAAGCUGGACUGCCCUUCUCCUUCACACAGCUCUGCAUCUUAUCAUCAGAUGAGGUCAUCUUUCUCCCACAAACAUUUUCUCUGCCUCAGCCUCUACUCACCACUGUUAAUUGUCAUCACCAUCUGAGCAUUUCCUUUCUCUUAUAUUAAAACCGCUUUUGGUUCCUUGUG